AUGUGUGAUUAGUGGCGCACGGGUGAGUAUAUACAUAGCAUAUACAUCACCCUAUUAGUGCUGGAGAUAGCCACUGGAAAUCGGUGAUUAGAUACUUGGAUACUUCCCUAGCGGGCGGUACACAGUUUUUCGUCUAGAAGCGAUUGUGUCCUAUGUCCUAUCAGUCUUGUUGGCUCGAUGGUAAUGGCUCACACACAGGUUAUGACGGGUAUCCGACACUGACGAUGGGUGAACGGACACACUGGAAACUGAGACACUGGUCCAGACUCCUACGGGUAGGCAGCAGUAGGGAAUAUUGCUCAAUGGGGGAAACCCUGAAGCAGCUACGCCGCGUGGAGGAUGAAGUGUUAUAGGAUAUGUAAACUCCGUUUUGUUAGAGU
rnacentral:rRNA from 1 species